AGUCGAGCGGAAUGAUGAAGAAGCUUGCUUCUUCUGAUUUUAGCGGCGGACGGGUGAGUAACACGUGGGCAACCUACCUUGUAGAUUGGGAUAACUCCGGGAAACCGGGGCUAAUACCGAAUAAUCCAUUUUGCUUCAUGGCAGAAUGUUGAAAGACGGUUUCGGCUGUCACUACGAGAUGGGCCCGCGGCGUAUUAGCUAGUUGGUAGGGUAAUGGCCUACCAAGGCGACGAUACGUAGCCGACCUGAGAGGGUGAUCGGCCACACUGGGACUGAGACACGGCCCAGACUCCUACGGGAGGCAGCAGUAGGGAAUCUUCCACAAUGGACGAAAGUCUGAUGGAGCAACGCCGCGUGAGUGAAGAAGGUUUUCGGAUCGUAAAACUCUGUUGUAAGGGAAGAACACGUACGAGAGUAACUGCUCGUACCUUGACGGUACCUUAUUAGAAAGCCACGGCUAACUACGUGCCAGCAGCCGCGGUAAUACGUAGGUGGCAAGCGUUGUCCGGAAUUAUUGGGCGUAAAGCGCGCGCAGGCGGUCCUUUAAGUCUGAUGUGAAAGCCCACGGCUCAACCGUGGAGGGUCAUUGGAAACUGGGGGACUUGAG
rnacentral:rRNA from 1 species